rnacentral:rRNA from 1 species
GACAGAGGUUGCAAACGUUGUUCGGAAUCACUGGGCAUAAAGCGCUCGUAGGCGGCCAACUAAGUCAGAUGUGAAGUCCCCCGGCUCAACCGGGGAACUGCGUCUGAUACUGGUUGGCUUGAGAACGGUAGGGGUGAGCGGAACUCCAGGUGGAGCGGUGAAAUGCGUAGAUAUCUGGAGGAACACCGGUGGCGAAAGCGGCUCACUGGACCGUAACCGACGCUGAGGUGCGAAAGCUAGGGUAGCAAACGGG